UACUCGAGUGGCGAACGGGUGAGUAACACGUGGGUGAUCUGCCCUGCACUUCGGGAUAAGCUUGGGAAACUGGGUCUAAUACCGGAUAGGAACCAUCUUUAGUGUGGUGGUUGGAAAGUUUUUUCGGUGUAGGAUGAGCUCGCGGCCUAUCAGCUUGUUGGUGGGGUAAUGGCCUACCAAAGCGGCGACGGGUAGCCGGCCUGAGAGGGUGUACGGCCACAUUGGGACUGAGAUACGGCCCAG
rnacentral:rRNA from 1 species